ensembl:misc_RNA Metazoa_SRP Metazoan signal recognition particle RNA
GCUGGGCAUGGUGGCGCGUGCCUGUAAUCCCAGCUACUUGGGAAGCUGAGGCAGGAGAAUUGCUUGAACCCAGGAGACUGAGGUUGUGGUGAGCCGAGAUCGUGACAUUGCACUCCAGCCUGGGUAACAAGAGCAAAACUCUGUCUCAA